rnacentral:lncRNA from 1 species
UGCAAACAGUGGGAAUUCCAGCCACUGACAGCCACACGGAGCAGCCCCUUGGAGGAGGCCACCCUGCAGCUCCCCUUGGGAAGCGAGGCUGCUUCCCAGCCCAGCACCUCAGCUGCCUGGAAAGCCCAUUCCACAGCCUCAGAGAAGGAUCCAGGACCACAGGCAGGGGCUGGAGCUGGAGCGAAAGACAAGGGGCCAGAGCCAACCUUCAAGCCAUACUUACCCCCAAAAAGAGCUGGCACCCUGAAGGACUGGAGCAAGCAGAGGACCAAGGAGAGAGCUUACACUGCCCUUCGCCAGGAAAUAUGGCCGAUGCAUGGACCUGCUCAUCCAGAGGGGCCUGUCUAGGUCUGUCUCUUACUCCAUCCUGGGAAAGUACCUACAAGAGGACUAGGGUGCCCAGAGAUGCAGCCCCUCAUGCCCCACCCGCCAAGUCUCAUUUUAAUUGGAGAUAGCCCAGAAUGCAUGUGCCCAUCAGAGGGUACAUAUCAGUCUAUUUUUUAUUAUAAACAAAUAAAAGAUUAAAUCAC